AAAUACAAUAGGAGUUUUUUGAAGAGUAUUUCUGGGGUUUAACUCUAUGCUCUCUGAUUUGUUUUCAGAAGACAACCACAGAUGCCUUGGUUUUGGUAGCCUCCGUUUGGGUAUCUGCCUUUAUAUCUUACUUCAGGACUUCCUGAGAGCUUUGAUUUCAACAAGGGAAGGAGGGAGGUGCUUCCCUCCCAAGACCAAUCCUGACUCCUUUGCAUCUUGAAACGCUGAUUGCACUUGAUGCAUGCAGUGUGUUUGUGCCACCCACAGAGGGAGAGACAUGGAAUCCCAGGUCGAGUUGGAGCUCUCAGUUCUCAGAAGCUUACCUUUUUCUGCUUUGUGGCACUUGUUCAUCUUAUGCAUUCCUUUAAGCUUAACUCUUCCAAAAAACUUUGCCUAUUCUUUACCCUCUGUCCCUUUCAGUUAGUAAUAACUUUGCUAUACCCAGUACCUACUUGACCUGGCCCUUUACUCCUUUUUACAUUUUAAUAUAUCUAUUAACUUUAUGUGAUAUAUAUCCUAUUCUCUUAAAAUACUAAGCUUCGAGAAGGCAGAGAUUCUGUUUUAUCACUUUGUGUAUACAGUAGGCACUAAGAAGCAUUUGUUAACGUUAUUACAUGGAAAAUGAAAUUUUUAUUGUUAGAAAUGGCCUAUAUAACUUUUUUGUUGUUAAGCUGUAUUAUUUAUCUAGCUAGUUCUUUGAAAAGUUUAAUAGCAAGAUAAAUGUAUUGGCCUUACUAGAGUGAUAAAUUAAGGUUUUCAAUUAAACAGAACAUGUAGAAAAAUGACUCAUGGCCUUGAGCAUUCUUAGCACACAUAGAACUAGCCAAAAAACUGCAUUUAAUUUAAAUCACAGAGCACUUCAAAAGCUUGGAGACCUUAUACCUCAUCUUGUUCACUUGGAAUAUAUUUUUGUGUAUAUUAAAAUGAUGUAAAAGAGAAAA